rnacentral:rRNA from 1 species
UACGGGGGGGGCAAGCGUUGUUCGGAAUUACUGGGCGUAAAGGGUUCGUAGGUGGCCAACUAAGUCAGACGUGAAAUCCCUCAGCUUAACUGGGGAACUGCGUCUGAUACUGGUUGGCUUGAGUGCAGGAGAGGAACGCGGAAUUCCAGGUGUAGCGGUGAAAUGCGUAGAUAUCUGGAGGAACACCGGUGGCGAAGGCGGCAUCCUGGACCGACACUGACACUGAGGAGCGAAAGCCAGGGGAGCAAACGGG